UACGUAGGGGGCAAGCGUUGUCCGGAAUCAUCGGGCGUAAAGAGCGCGUAGGCGGUCCGGUAAGUCCGCUCUGAAAGUCCGGGGGCUCAACCCCCGGGAGGCGGGCGGAUACUGUCGGGCUAGAGUCCGGAAGAGGCGAGUGGAAUUCCUGGUGUAGCGGUGAAAUGCGCAGAUAUCAGGAGGAACACCGGUGGCGAAGGCGGGUCUCUGGGCCGAUACUGACGCUGAGACGCGAAAGCGUGGGGAGCGAACAGG
rnacentral:rRNA from 1 species